GACGAACGCUGGCGGCGUGCUUAACACAUGCAAGUCGAACGGAAAGGCCUGCUUUCCCUUGUGGAUUGCGGGUACUCGAGUGGCGAACGGGUGAGUAACACGUGAGUGAUCUUCCCCCAACUUGGGUAUAAGCCUGGGAAACUGGGUCUAAUUCCCGCUAGGACUGCAGGGUGGUGCCUGUGGUUGUAAACGAUUUUCUAGUGGUUGGGGAUGAGCGCGCGGCGUAUCAGCUUGUUGGUGGGGUAAUGGCCUACCAAGGCGGCGACGGGUAGCCGGCCUGGGGGAGUGGGCGGGAGAGGUGGAACUGAGAUACGGGCAAGGAGACUACGGGAAGCAGCAGUGGGGAGUAAUGAGCGAGGAGCAGAGGACUAAGGGAGCGAGCCCGAGUGAGCGAUGACGGGCUUCGGAUGAUGGACUCCUGGCGGCAGCGAGGAAGCCACCUGGUUGAAGGGGUAGUGACGGUAGUGGUAGAAGAAGCACCGGCUAACUACGUG
rnacentral:rRNA from 1 species